rnacentral:rRNA from 1 species
ACGAAGGGAGCUAGCGUUGUUCGGAAUUACUGGGCGUAAAGGGCGCGUAGGCGGUUAAAUAAGUCAGAUGUGAAAGCCUUGGGCUUAACCUGAGAACAGCAUUUGAUACUGUUUGACUAGAGGACGAGAGAGGAAAGUGGAAUUACGAGUGUAGAGGUGAAAUUCGUAGAUAUUCGUAAGAACACCAGUGGCGAAGGCGACUUUCUGGCUCGUAUCUGACGCUAAGGCGCGAAAGCGUGGGGAGCAAACAG